UCCCUGGUGGCUCAGAUGGUAAAGGGUCUGCCUGCAGUGCAGGAGACCCAGGUUCAAUCCCUGGGUAGGGAA
rnacentral:tRNA from 1 species